rnacentral:misc_RNA from 1 species
UGGCUUUUUGCAAUUAGGUGGAGAACUACAUACUUCUUUAUGUUUAUUUAAUCAUCUUGGAAAAUAUAUCAUCAUUUUGGAUAUGUAUUGUCAUAUCAAGGAGCAGAGAGUUUGGUGGUUCUUUCGCGUUAAUUUCCUCGGAAUAGAGUUCCGUUGUUUUUAGUGUAUGAUUAUUCAGAAUGCGAGGGACAAAAGAAACCCUGUAAACCAAGCCGGCCAUAGCACAUUAAUAUAUUGUGAA